rnacentral:lncRNA from 1 species
CUGCUCAUUUAUUUUUCGGUUUUUUUCCUUCCUUUAUCCAAAGAGGGACCCACAGUGACUUGUCUUUAAUCUCACUUUUUUCAGUGUUUCUUGCAUUAUUAUUUUCAGUGUUUCUUACAUUAUUAUUUUUAGGUUAUUUCUGUAUGAAAAUUACUGUAACUAAAGAAAACUCGAAUGGAUCUUGAAAAUACAGAUAUAUAUAUAUAGUUCA